CAUGGACAUUUUUAAAACUGACAUGUUGAGCGUGUUAGGUUAAAAAGGUACAUAUAGAAGCAUCUUACAUUUUGCUUUAUUUUGCGUUUUUCUCUCAAUAUUUUAUCUUUUUAUAAUUUAACUUUUUCAUGUUUAAAUGUCCCUUACGCUUAGUAGUAGUCCCAACAAUGAUUUAAUGGUUAAGCGGGAGGACUGGCAUGUCAUUAAACCAUGUUCAACUCACCAAUUUUUCUCAAAUAUCCAGA
rnacentral:lncRNA from 1 species